rnacentral:rRNA from 1 species
GACGAACGCUGGCGGCGUGCCUAAUACAUGCAAGUCGAGUGGGGGUGGUGAGGUAGGUUACUAUUGAGCCACCCUAGCGGCGGACGGGUGAGUAACGCGUGGGCAACCUGCCCUGUAGGCUGGGAUAACAGGUCGAAAGGCCUGCUAAUACCGGAUGAGCUCGCGGGGUCGCAUGGCCUUGUGAGGAAAGGGGAGACCCGCUACAGGAUGGGCCCGCGUCCCAUUAGCUAGUUGGUGAGGUAACGGCUCACCAAGGCGACGAUGGGUAGCCGGCCUGAGAGGGCGACCGGCCACACUGGAACUGAGACACGGUCCAGACUCCUACGGGGGGCAGCAGUAGGGAAUCUUCGGCAAUGGGCGAAAGCCUGACCGAGCGACGCCGCGUGAGGGAAGAAGGUCUUCGGAUUGUAAACCUCUGUCUAGGGGGACGAGGAAGGACGGUACCCCUGGAGGAAGCCCCGGCUAACUACGUG